GGGACAAACCUUAACAGUUUCAACCCAUCCUCAGAUCUCGACCUCACCUACUUGAAGACAUCAUGAUUGGCUGGGGGAUUCUGGGAGUUGAAAUCCACCUAUUCUGAAGUUGCCAAGAUGGUGAAACACUGGAGGUUCAUAUUACUAGAACUUCAUUGCCUGUCUGGUUUGCCCUCUGAGGUAGAGGAAGAAAAAAACCUAGUUUAUCCAACAGACAAGCCCAAAUGUUGGUUUGAUGUGCGGGGGGCAUUUUUGCUUGCAGUCUUGAGAUUUAGAACGUGACACGCAGCCCCCCCCCCAUUCGAUGGUGGUUUACUCAACAAAGCGGGCCUAAGCCAACAGUGGUUUAAUGUGGUAUGUGACCCGAGGCGUAGGACAUGGACUUUCAUGACCAUAUCCUUCCACAGGUAGUCCUCGACUUACGGCUGGCAUUGAGGCCAAAAUUUCCAUCGCUAAGCAAGAGAGUUCAGUGGUUUCAUUCCGUGUUACGACCUUCCUUGCCACUAUUGUUCAGUCACCCGGUGGUUAGAUUGAAUCUGGCUUCUUCCCUGUCGAUUUGGCUUGU